rnacentral:rRNA from 1 species
UACGGAGGGUGCGAGCGUUGUCCGGAAUCACUGGGCGUAAAGGCGCGUAGGCGGCUGGGGAGGUCGGCGGUGAAAGCCCGGAGCUCAACUCCGGGUCGGCCGUCGAGACUCCUCGGCUCGAGCUCACUAGAGGCAGAUGGAAUUCCGGGUGUAGCGGUGGAAUGCGUAGAGAUCCGGAAGAACACCGGUGGCGAAGGCGGUCUGCUGGGGUGAGGCUGACGCUGAGGCGCGACAGCGUGGGGAGCAAACAGG